GACGAACGCUGGCGGCGUGCUUAACACAUGCAAGUCGAACGGAAAGGCCCUGCUUUUGUGGGGUGCUCGAGUGGCGAACGGGUGAGUAACACGUGAGUAACCUGCCCUUGACUUUGGGAUAACUUCAGGAAACUGGGGCUAAUACCGGAUAGGAGCUCCUGCUGCAUGGGGGGGGUUGGAAAGUUUCGGCGGUUGGGGAUGGACUCGCGGCUUAUCAGCUUGUUGGUGGGGUAGUGGCUUACCAAGGCUUUGACGGGUAGCCGGCCUGAGAGGGUGACCGGCCACAUUGGGACUGAGAUACGGACCAGACUCCUACGGGAGGCAGCAGUGGGGAAUAUUGCACAAUGGGCGGAAGCCUGAUGCAGCAACGCCGCGUGCGGGAUGACGGCCUUCGGGUUGUAAACCGCUUUCGCCUGUGACGAAGAGUGAGUGACGGUAAUGGGUAAAGAAGCAACGGCUAACUACGUG
rnacentral:rRNA from 1 species